UUCCUAGAACUCUGUUGCCAUCUCUGUGCUGCUCGCCCUCCCAGUGACAUGGGCAGGCUUUAAGGCUACACUAUGAAUGACCAAUACCACCGUGCAGCCAGAGAUGGCUAUCUGGACCUGCUGAAGGAAGCCACCAAGAAGGACUUAAAUUCCCCUGAUGAAGAUGGCAUGACCCCAACCCUGUGGGCCGCCUACCAUGGCAACUUGGAUGCCUUAAGGCUGAUAGUUAGCAGAGGGGGUGAUCCAGACAAAUGUGACAUCUGGGGGAACACACCUCUUCAUCUGGCAGCAGCCAAUGGCCACCUGAAUUGCCUCUCCUUCCUGGUGUCUUUUGGGGCCAAUAUCUGGUGUCUGGACAAUGACUACCACACACCGUUGGACAUGGCCGCCAUGAAGGGUCACAUGGAGUGUGUGCGUUACUUGGACUCCAUUGCUGCAAAGCAAAGCAGCCUCAAUCCGAAGCUGGUGAGCAAGUUGAAGGACAAAGCCUUUAAAGAUGCAGAGAAACGCAUUAAGGACUGUGUAAAGAUGCAGAAGAAACAUCAUGAAAGGAUGGAGAAGCGAUACAAGAAAGAGAUGUCUGACCGCUCGGACACGAUGAGUUUCUCCAGCUACUCCAGUAGCACCCUGAGUAGGAGACUGCCACACGUGUCCAUGAUGAAUUCCUUGCCUUACUCUCAGGCCACCAUACAGGGCACAGCCAAGGGCAAGACAAAAAUCCAAAAGAAACUGGAGAAAAAGAAACAGGUGGAUGGGACGUUCAAAAUUUAUGAGGAUGGGAGGAAAAGCGUGAGGUCCUUGUCUGGCUUACAGCUGGGCAACGAUGUCAUGUUUGUGAAACAAGGCACCUAUAUUAGCCCAAAGGAAUGGACUCGGCGAAAUGUUAGAGAUAUGUUUCUGUCUGAUGAAGAUACUGUCUCCCGUGCCAUAAGUGACCCAGGUUUGCACAUGGACUCCACCCAUUCUGAGGUCAGUACUGAUUCUGGCCAUGACUCUUUAUUCAAUCGGCCUGGACUUGGUACCAUGGUUUUCCGGAGGAACUAUGUCAGUAGCGGUCUAUUUGGGAUUGGUCAAAGUGAACCCAGUAUUUUGGGGGAAGGCAAUACAGACAGGAUGAGUGUUAAGCUUCACAGCCGCCUUCAAUGCUCGCCAAGUCUUAACGACAGUAUCGGCAGUGCCAACAGCCUGCAGGAGAGGAAUCUGGAGGACUUGCCCUGGGAUGAAGUGGAACUGGGUCUGGAUGAUGAUAUCGAACCCGACACUAGCCCUCUGGAGACCUUCCUGGCUUCUUUGAAUAUGUUUGAGUUUAUUUCUAUCUUUAAGAAGGAGAAGAUUGAUCUGGAAGCUCUGAUGUUGUGUUCAGACAAUGAUCUGAAAAGUAUCAACAUUCCGCUGGGGCCCAGGAAAAAGAUUCUGGAUGCUGUUCAAAGAAGGAAAGAGACUUUGGACAAGCCUGAUGUCAUAGAAGACACGGAUCUGUAAGCAAUAGAACUGCUCCACUUCAUACUUGUGGGUGCCCUCAGGUCUUCAACAUAUGACGCGCAUAACUUAGAAGGAUAGCCAUGAACGCAGGGGAAAACCACUUCUAAGUUGCCAGAAAUUAUCUUCUAGAGAUCCGAUCGAAUGCCACAACAAAACGCCUCAAUUCUUUCUCAGUUUCCUUUUUCUGCUUUACUGUCUGCAGAAGCUUGUCUGGUGCUAAGGAGCUUUUUUUUUAAGGGGGAGGGGAAGGAACGCAAUUGCAUUAAACUAAAACAUAUAAUCUACUGGGAGAGCUA